rnacentral:misc_RNA from 1 species
GGAAGGAUCAUCAACAAAAGGGUUAAAAGUGCGUGGGCGGGCGCAAGCUCGUUUUUCACGUUCUGCACCCGAAAUCCUGUAUUCACCCCAAGUUCCUUUAAAAUUUCAAAUAAAAAACUUUUUGCAAAAGACCACCUUCGUUUCGGUGGCGUCUAAUUGCACAAAGCGAAAACUUUCAACAACGGAUCUCUUGGCUCUCGCAUCGAUGAAGAACGCAGCGAAAUGCGAUAAGUAGUGUGAAUUGCAGAUUAGAGUGAAUCAUCGAAUUUUUGAACGCAUAUUGCGCUCUCCGGUAUUCCGGGGAGCAUGCCUGGCUGAGGGUCGGUAAAACAAACCUCCGGAUGAAAAUCCGGUGGUCGAUGGGUGUCUAUCCGAUUUGCCCCUUGGGGAAUUAAUCGGUCACCUGAAAUAACAGGCUCCGCUGGUUCGCGGACUCGUGCAGUAAAGAUACAAAUAUGAGUGUGCGCUUAGCGCCUUCGGAUAUCACACUUCACGAUAUGCGGCAAAGCGAGAAGCCACGUUUUGGCUGUUUACGGCCAAAUGCGUCCCAUGGCGCAUAUUUUGAAAGCUCGACCUCAGAUCAAGCAAGACCACCCGCUGAACUUAAGCAUAUCAAUAAGCGGAGGAAAAGAAACUAACAAGGAUUCCCCUAGUAACGGCGAGUGAAGCGGGAAGAGCUCAAAUUUUAAAUCAGUGUGCCUCCGGCGCAUCGAGUUGUAGUUUGAAGAGGCGUUUUUUCGCGUCCGACAGCCGGCACAAGUCCUCAGGAACGAGGCGUCGUAGAGGGUGACAACCCCGUCCACGGCCGGUGUAUCGGGUGCGUACGAUACGCUCUCAAAGAGUCGAGUAGUUUGGGAUUGCUGCUCUAACUGGGUGGUAGACUCCAUCUAAGGCUAAAUAACGGCGAGAGACCGAUAGCGAACAAGUACCGUGAGGGAAAGAUGAAAAGAACUCUGAAGAGAGAGUUAAAAGUACGUGAAAUUGUUGAAAGGGAAACGCUUGAAGCCAGUCGUGUCGGUGGAAUAUCAACGAGGAGCGGACAGAGACGUCGUGUGGGCAGGGUAAAACCGUCCUUGCGGUGUUCGAAAGUUCGUCGGCGUGCACUAUUCCGCAUGGCAGGCCAGCGUCGGUUUCCUGCGCGGCACAAUGGUCAGGGUAAGGUGCCCCUUCCGAGGGAGUUAUAGACCUUGGCCAACGUCGUGCAAGGAACCGAGGAACGCGGCGGCGACCCUUCGGGGCUUGGACCUUUCCUUUGGGCGGCGGCACGUGCGUUCUGAGCUUGCUCGGGCGUGUUUGCACGUUUGUUCAACAGGGGGAGACGUCCGUACCUACCGCCAAGGACGCUGGCGUAAUGGCUUCAAACGACCCGUCUUGAAACACGGACCAAGGAGUCCAGCAUAUGUGCGAGUGUUUGGGUGGCAAACCCUUACGCGUAAUCAACGUGAACGCAGGUGGGAACCUCUCCGGGGGCGCACCAUCGACCGAUCCUGAGACUAGUUGAUGGAUUUGAGUAAGAGCAUAUCUGUUGGGACCCGAAAGAUGGUGAACUAUGCCUGAAUAGGGUGAAGCCAGGGGAAACUCUGGUGGAGGCCCGUAGCGAUUCUGACGUGCAAAUCGAUCGUCGAAUUUGGGUAUAGGGGCGAAAGACUAAUCGAACCAUCUAGUAGCUGGUUCCUGC